UACAGAGGGUGCGAGCGUUAAUCGGAAUUACUGGGCGUAAAGCGCGCGUAGGCGGCUUUGCAAGUCGGGUGUGAAAUCCCCAGGCUUAACCUGGGAACUGCAUUCGAGACUGCAUUGCUAGAGUAUGGGAGAGGGAAGUGGAAUUUCCGGUGUAGCGGUGAAAUGCGUAGAUAUCAGGAGGAACACCGAUGGCGAAGGCAGGUCUCUGGGCAUUAACUGACGCUGAGGAGCGAAAGCAUGGGGAGCGAACAGG
rnacentral:rRNA from 1 species